rnacentral:rRNA from 1 species
AGCAAUAGCCCGGAGAUGGAUUCUGAGACACGAAUCCAGGCCCUACGGGGUGCAGCAGGCGCGAAAACUUUACAAUGCUGGAAACAGCGAUAAGGGAACCUCGAGUGCCAGGUUACAAAUCUGGCUGUCGUGAUGCCUAAAAAGCAUUGCAUAGCAAGGGCCGGGCAAGACCGGUGCCAGCCGCCGCGGUAACACCGGCGGCUCGAGUGGUAACCGUUAUUAUUGGGUCUAAAGGGUCUGUAGCCGGCCGGAUAAGUCUCUUGGGAAAUCUGGCAGCUUAACUGUCAGGCUUUCAGGAGAUACUGUCUGGCUCGAGGCCGGGAGAGGUGAGAGGUACUUCAGGGGUAGGGGUGAAAUCUUGUAAUCCUUGAAGGACCACCAGUGGCGAAGGCGUCUCACCAGAACGGACCUGACGGCAAGGGACGAAAGCUAGGGGCACGAACCGGAUUAGAUACCCGGGUAGUCCUAGCCGUAAACGAUACUCGCUAGGUGUCGGCCACGGUGCGACCGUGGUCGGUGCCGUAGGGAAGCCGUGAAGCGAGCCACCUGGGAAGUACGGCCGCAAGGCUGAAACUUAAAGGAAUUGGCGGGGGAGCAC